CAGAGGCUCCUGUCUCUUGCACUUUCUUCUUGCCCUCUCCCACAAGCAUUUUCUAUGUGCGGUCUGAGUACUGACCCAGGAGAGGAAAGGAAUGGGGCCCUGGCCUUGGGGCGUCAGACCCAGAGAGGAACAGACCCAUUAGUAAUUGCUCCAGUGUGUGAUGUGCUUGGGGUCACGGAGAAGGAACAUCCGGCACUGGCUUCCUAUGGGAGGACGGGAGGACACUGAAGGAGUGCCUUUGGCAUCGAGCUGUCUGUCGUUAAAGCAGUAGAAGUGAUUCACCUUCCUAGCCGGCUCCAGUCCCUUGGCUGCUGGGGAGUGGGGGCUGGCAUGGGAGUCUUUAGCCCUGUCAUCUGUGCAUGGGCCGCUGUUCCCACAUGGGUCUGUGCCAGAUGGUCUUUGUUUCCCAGGCUGAGUUCGACUUGCCCAGAGUGGGAUCCUCCAUUGUUCCCGUUUCUGCCCUGGGAUGGCUGGCGUGGGCUCAGUUCCCUUACCACCUGAUCCCUGGGCUGGGCAGGGUGCUCACUCUUUCCUAUGCUUCUUCCCCAGCAACCCCAAAGUCCAGGUGGAGGCCAUUGAAGGGGGAGCCCUACAGAAGCUGCUGGUAAUCCUGGCCACGGAGCAGCCACUCACAGCAAAGAAGAAGGUCCUGUUUGCGCUGUGCUCCCUGCUGCGCCACUUCCCCUAUGCCCAGCGGCAGUUCCUGAAGCUGGGAGGGCUGCAGGUCCUGAGGAGCCUGGUGCAGGAGAAGGGCACAGAGGUGCUGGCCGUGCGUGUGAUCACGCUGCUCUACGACCUGGUCACGGAGAAGAUGUUCGCCGAGGAAGAGGCCGAGCUGACCCAGGAGACACCCCCAGAGAAGCUGCAGCAGUAUCGCCAGGUGCACCUCCUGCCAGGCCUGCGAGAACAGGGCUGGUGCGAGAUAACAGCCCAUCUCCUGGCACUGCCUGAGCACGAUGCCCGUGAAAAGGUGCUACAGACGCUGGGUGUCCUCCUGGCCACCUGCCAGGAUCGCUACCGUCAGGACCCCGAGCUCAGCAGGACUCUGGCCAGCCUGCAGGCUGAGUACCAGGCGCUGGCCAGUCUGGAGCUGCAGGAAGGAGAAAGCUGGCAGUGGGAGCCCAGAUCUGCCCAGCCCACCUGACAGGGCAGAGGUGCCUCUCUGUGCCCUUGCCCUGCUCCUGUGUCCAAGCAGAAGCUGUGCCAAGCCCAAGGAGGAGGCCUCAGAGGUGGGAGCAGCCAUGCCUGGUGAGUCCCGGUCCCCACCCAGGCUGGCAGAGUGCCAGGCAGAGCUGGCUGCAGGUUGCCAUGGCAACCCGGGCUCUGAGCUUUUCGGAUUUGAUUUCUGGUGCGUUUGUUUCUUGGCUUUCCCAGUGCGCCAGAGGCUUGCUCGUAUGGGCCCAGGCAGCCGCUCCAGCCUGCAGGUAGUAAAGUCGGGAGGGCCAGUCUGGGGCAGGACUCUCUCCUCUCCCUGGCUCUAGGCCUUGCUUGUAGAAAUCUCAGUUUUACUGAGCUGAGAGCAAACUGACGCCCAGAAAACCAUAGGGUCAGUGGGUGGCCUUCCCUGCAGUCCCUUUGCUUGGCCACCUGGCUCUUCUCAGCCCACCUCCUGGUCGCCUCCUGCCACAACACGACACCAGGAAGCUCAGAGAGGAGCUGUGGCCUGCACGGGGCCCCUCCCAGUGGGGCAGGCAGGAAGCAGGAGCCCAGGCUGACAUGAGAGUAACAGCUUCCCCAGGGCAGGAAGCCUCAGGGCUUGGGCAGAGUGGGGGUCAGGCUCAUAGUCUGCCAGCUGUUGGGUACCUGCUGCUUCACAGCCUCGCAGGAGCCUUCGAAGUAGAUUUUACAGAUGAGGAAAUUGUGGCUCAGAGAGGCUAAGUGACCUGCUUGUGGGGGCAGAGGUGGGCUCGUGGUGCUGAUGGUGCUGUGGGAGGCUUGAAUGGCACCUAGAAUAGGACAAUGUUGAAUUGACAAGCGGCGGAGGGAGGACCAGGAGAGAUAGCCAGGCACGUGUGGCCACAACAGGGCAAGGUUCAGACAGGAGGUGCCAGUGCCUGGCUCAGGCCAAGGUCAGAGGAUGCUUUAGAGGUAGUGUCGCAGGCUCCGGGGUGGAUUUGAGAACAGGGCAGGGCAAGGUGUGAUGGGGAGUGGGGCUGCCCCAGCAGAGGCUGGAACAGAGGAGGACUUGGGCCGGGUUGGGGAUGAAUCUGUUCUGGGCUUUCAGCAUUCAGAGGCGAGUGCCAAGGCUGGGCCGUGGGAACAGAGGACAGGCGAGAGUGUGGGGCGUGGCAGGGAGGCCAAGCCAGGCGCUGGGCUGUGUCAGGACCAGGCUGGCCCUUGAGGCCUCUGUGACCACCAGGGUCUGGCCUAGGGUGUGGAAACAGUUCCCAUGGGAGGAGUGCCACUAGUAGGGGCCUAGCUGCCGUCCCCAGUGUCCCCUCUGCUCCCAGCUGUGAUGCCCUCAGCAGCGAUUCUGUAAAGCAUAGGGAGGCGUUGGGCCAGGUGCUCUUUAGGGAAUUUCUGGGACCGAGGACUGGGAACCCGGGGCUGAAGGGAGGGGGCUGGACCAUCGCCAGGCUGCUGAGCCUGAGGCCAGGGAGGUGGGACCACGUGCACUCUGCCCCCCCCACACACAGAGCAUCAGGGAUGAGAGUUGGGGCCUCAGUCUCUUUCCUUCUUGGCCUCAUCCAGGUUCGUCCCAGACUGUUAAGCAGAUGCUCUGGAGAGAGGGCAGUGGGGUGGCUCUGGGGAGAAGGAUCUGGGCUUGGGCUGCUUGUGGGGGUUCUAGCUCCACCUCCUGAUUCAUCACUGCCUGUUGUCUGCAGGUCACGAAGGAACCCCUUCUCUGUCUUCCCUUUGGGUGCCAUCCUGGGAACUGUGGUCAAGGAGUGUGACUGGGGCUCAAAGUGUGGCAGGGAAUGGCGAUGGGGGAGGCAUGGCUUCCUCCUGUGGGGCUGGAGCCUGCUUUU
ensembl:lincRNA